AGACAAAUGUUCAAUUUUUCACACUUUGAGGGACAACUCCCGUCCCGUGACCAUAUAUGGCAUGAAAUGUUGCAAUACGCGUGUUGGAAAAAGUAUGGUUAAAGAUGCGCGCUUCAUCUGUGCCUCCAGGCUCUUGAUGUUGCGAAAUGUUGUAGCCUAGAAAACGGUUCUAAUCACUGCCUUGGAAUGUUCCUGUCAAUCACAAGCAACUCCUCAUCAAUGACAUAAGAAAAGUAUUGCUGGCUCAGGCCAAAGGUCCAUGUAGCCUGGCAUCCUGUUCUCACUGUGGCUAACUGGAUGCCUAUGGGAACUCCAUAAACAGUACUUGAGCGCAAUUCAGAACAUACAGUACUGUCUCAGGCAAUGGGGACAGAACAUAGCCAUCAUGACCAGCAGCCAUUAAUUUCUCUAUACCUUUCUUAAAGCCACCCAAGUUGAUGGGCUUCACUACAUCUUGCGUGAGAGAAUUCUAUGGCUUAUCUAUGUGCUAUAUGAAGAAGUACAUUGUUUUUUUCUGUCCUGAAUCAUCCAACAUUCAGCUUCACUGUCUAGGCCCCAAACCUAGUCUUACAAGUGAGGGACUUUAUCCAACCUUAUAUAAGCUAUAUUAAGUCCACUGCUUACUCCAAAUGUUGUAACCUUUCCUCAUAGUGGAGUUGCUUCAUCCUCUUUUUCA